rnacentral:lncRNA from 1 species
CGAGAUAUGGGUCACUAUGGUGGGAAAUAUUAAUUAAAAUAAAGUGGCUCAAAGUUGGAAGGAAAUCUUGCAAGAGAGGAAAAUUUUGGUUAAGCAUAAAUUAUGGUGCUAGGAAAAGAAGGAAGACGUAUCGUUGGGAUUUUUGGGUUGCUUGAUUUCUUAAGAAGAUUUAUAUUAUGUUUAUAUUUUUUUAGAAUAAGUUAUCACAAAGGACCCACUAGUGUAGUGGUUUAGAGUAUUUACUCCCUCAGGUAAGGUCUUGAGUUCGAGUCCUAGCAUCUGUCAUCAAAAAAAAAAAAAAAAGGAAUAAGUUAUCAAUCAGGAUAUUAUUUUCCUAAUAUGAUUUUAAUUAGUUUUCUUAUUAGAUAAGUUUUAUGAAUAUUCUGAAACCUAGGGUUUCCUACGGUUUUAGGAUUUCUUGGUUUUUCUAUUGAAGCCAACUCAUGACAUUGUAUUAUUUAGUUU